rnacentral:rRNA from 1 species
AGAGUUUGAUUCUGGCUCAGAUUGAACGCUGGCGGCGUGCUUAACACAUGCAAGUCGAACGUGAAAGUCCUUCGGGGCGAGUAAAGUGGCGCACGGGUGAGUAACGCGUGGAUAAUCUACCCUUAAGAUGGGGAUAACGGCUGGAAACGGUCGCUAAUACCGAAUACGCUCCCGAUUUUAUCGUUGGGGGGAAAGAUGGCCUCUGCUUGCAAGCUAUCGCUUAAGGAUGAGUCCGCGUCCCAUUAGCUAGUUGGCGGGGUAACGGCCCACCAAGGCGACGAUGGGUAGCCGGUCUGAGAGGAUGACCGGCCACACUGGAACUGGAACACGGUCCAGACUCCUACGGGAGGCAGCAGUGGGGAAUAUUGCGCAAUGGGCGAAAGCCUGACGCAGCGACGCCGCGUGAGGGAUGAAGGUUCUCGGAUCGUAAACCUCUGUCAGGGGGGAAGAAACCCCCUCGUGUGAAUAAUGCGAGGGCUUGACGGUACCCCCAAAGGAAGCACCGGCUAACUCCGUGCCAGCAGCCGCGGUAAUACGGAGGGUGCAAGCGUUAAUCGGAAUCACUGGGCGUAAAGCGCACGUAGGCGGCUUGGUAAGUCAGGGGUGAAAUCCCACAGCCCAACUGUGGAACUGCCUUUGAUACUGCCAGGCUUGAGUACCGGAGAGGGUGGCGGAAUUCCAGGUGUAGGAGUGAAAUCCGUAGAUAUCUGGAGGAACACCGGUGGCGAAGGCGGCCACCUGGACGGUAACUGACGCUGAGGUGCGAAAGCGUGGGUAGCAAACAGGAUUAGAUACCCUGGUAGUCCACGCUGUAAACGAUGGGUGCUGGGUGCUGGGAUGUAUGUCUCGGUGCCGUAGCUAACGCGAUAAGCACCCCGCCUGGGGAGUACGGUCGCAAGGCUGAAACUCAAAGAAAUUGACGGGGGCCCGCACAAGCGGUGGAGUAUGUGGUUUAAUUCGAUGCAACGCGAAGAACCUUA